GUUUUAAUAGUUUAAUAUAAAAUAUUGGUCUUGUAAAUCAAUGAUAUGAUAAAAAUCAUUUAAAACU
rnacentral:tRNA from 1 species